GAUGAACGCUGGCGGCGUGCCUAAUACAUGCAAGUCGAGCGAACAGAUGAGGAGCUUGCUCCUCUGACGUUAGCGGCGGACGGGUGAGUAACACGUGGAUAACCUACCUAUAAGACGGGGAUAACUUCGGGAAACCGGAGCUAAUACCGGAUAAUAUAUUGAACCGCAUGGAUCAAUAGUGAAAGACGGUUUUGCUGUCACUUAUAGAUGGAUCCGCGCCGCAUUAGCUAGUUGGUAAGGUAACGGCUUACCAAGGCAACGAUGCGUAGCCGACCUGAGAGGGUGAUCGGCCACACUGGAACUGAGACACGGUCCAGACUCCUACGGGAGGCAGCAGUAGGGAAUCUUCCGCAAUGGGCGAAAGCCUGACGGAGCAACGCCGCGUGAGUGAUGAAGGUCUUCGGAUCGUAAAGCUCUGUUAUUAGGGAAGAACAAAUGUGUAAGUAACUAUGCACGUCUUGACGGUACCUAAUCAGAAAGCCACGGCUAACUACGUG
rnacentral:rRNA from 1 species